GCGCGUGGGCAGCGUCACCGCGGGAUGCGUGGCCUGGGGGAAAACACGGGCGGGUGGGAAGGGGAGAGAAAAAAACGAGGAAGGGAGCGGGACCUUUCCGGGACGUGUCGGCCAAGGCUGCGCGAACCUUCGAUUUGGAAGGAGCCCGGGACUGAAAGCUGUGUUGACUAG
rnacentral:lncRNA from 1 species